rnacentral:tRNA from 1 species
UUUAAUAUGGCAGAUUAGUGCAAUGAGUUUAAGUUUCAUGUAUAUAAAUUUUAUUUAUUAUUAAA